UUUUGCAUGCAGAAGGUGUGGGGUAGUGUCCUGCAAGUCUUA
rnacentral:tRNA from 1 species